GACGAACGCUGGCGGCGUGCUUAACACAUGCAAGUCGAACGGUAAGGCCCUUCGGGGUACACGAGUGGCGAACGGGUGAGUAACACGUGGGUGAUCUGCCCUGCACUUCGGGAUAAGACUGGGAAACUGGGUCUAAUACCGGAUAGGACUCCGGACUGCAUGGUCUGGGGUGGAAAGCUUUUGCGGUGUGGGAUGGGCCCGCGGCCUAUCAGCUUGUUGGUGGGGUGAUGGCCUACCAAGGCGACGACGGGUAGCCGGCCUGAGAGGGUGACCGGCCACACUGGGACUGAGAUACGGCCCAGACUCCUACGGGAGGCAGCAGUGGGGAAUAUUGCACAAUGGGCGCAAGCCUGAUGCAGCGACGCCGCGUGAGGGAUGACGGCCUUCGGGUUGUAAACCUCUUUCAGCAUCGACGAAGCGAAAGUGACGGUAGGUGCAGAAGAGGGACCGGCCAACUACGUGCCAGCCGCCGCAGUAA
rnacentral:rRNA from 1 species